rnacentral:rRNA from 1 species
GAUGAACGCUGGCGGCGUGCCUAAUACAUGCAAGUCGAACGCUGAAGCGAGGAGCUUGCUCUUCUUGGGUUAGUGGCGGACGGGUGAGUAACGCGUAGGUAACCUGCCUGUUAGUGGGGGAUAACUACGGGAAACGAUAGCUAAUACCGCAUAAUAUUGAUUACGGCAUGAUUCAUAAUUGAAAGAGGCAAUUGCCGCACUACUAGAUGGACCUGCGGUGUAUUAGCUAGUUGGGGAGGUAACCGCCCAACCAAGGGACGGUACAUAGGCGGCCUGGAGGGGAUGAUCGGCCACACGGGACCGGAGACCCGGCCCAGACUCCUACGGGAGGCAGCAGAGGGGAAUAUUGGACAAUGGGGGAAAGCCUGACGAAGCAAGCCCGCGUGGGUGAGGAAGUUCUUCGGUUGGUAAACUCCUUUUGUUGGGAAAGAAGAGUGGGAGAGUGAAAAGUUCACGUUGUGACGGUACCUAAACAGAAAGCGACGGCUAACUACGUG